rnacentral:rRNA from 1 species
GAUGAACGCUGGCGGCGUGCUUAACACAUGCAAGUCGAACGGAAAGGCUCCAGCUUGCUGGAGCGCUCGAGUGGCGAACGGGUGAGUAACACGUGUGCAAUCCGCCCUGCUCACUGGGAUAAGCCUGGGAAACUGGGUCUAAUACCGGAUAGGACCUUUCUACUCGCGGGGUUUGGUGGAAAGUUUCUCGGUGCAGGAUGCGUCCGCGGCCUACCUGCUUGCUGGUGGGGGAGUGGUCUACCAAGGCUGCGAAUGGUAGCCGACCUGAGAGGGUGAUCGGCCUCAUUGGGACUGAGGUACGGCCCAGACUCCUACGGGAGGCAGUAGGGGAGAGUAUUGCACAACGGGCGAGAGCCUGAGGCAGCGGCGCCCCGUGAGUGAUGACGGCCUACGAGUUGUAAACCUCUUUCUGUAGGGACGUACCGCAAGUGACGGUACCUGCACAAGAAGCACCGGCUAACUACGUG